AGAGGAGCAUGAUGGACUGGGAUCUGAUGAGGAAACAAAAAAGAUUAUCUAACUUAAGAUAAAAUACACUCUGAAGUUUCCAGUUUCUGCAAACAGAAGAGAAGGGGUUCAAUGAAGGCUUUGUAUGUGUAGCAGGAUAGAGGUGCUAUCCAUGUUAGUCACGGUACAAGUACCACUAGUGGCCGUCAUGAUGUGGGCGGUAUAAAAGCAGCCGUCCUCCACCUGCCUCUUUCUCUUUUGCGCUCCUGUCACUUGCGUGUCACUUCCGGGCCAAAAGGUGGUCUGGUCCGAUAGGGCGACUAUUUGUUGCUGCUUCAGGGUUUUUGUGCGAGCUGUGGUGUAAGUUCUUGUAAACGCUGAUGACGGCCGGAGUCCUCUCUCCCUCCCUCCUCCUGUGUGAACGGGAGUGUGUGUGUGUGUGUGUGUGUGUGUGUGUGUGCCCGUGUUUGGUCAUAAACAGGACCAACUGCAAUCAGCUCAUUGGGGUCGCUGCUGCUUUGCCAGGCUGAUAUUGUCUUUCCACGCUACUCCGCUUCACUGUUGCUGCACGCCGCGUUGUUUACUUCACGUGCUUUGCUGGCUGAUAUUGCCUUUCCACGCUACUCCGCUUCACUGCUGCUGCACGCCGCGUUGUUUACUUCACGUGUUACACCACCGGCCGGCAUCUCGUGCCUACUGCCGCCUGUCGCUGCGGGCGCACCCCCCUCCCGAGUAGUGCUACCAAGGGUGCUCAUCCAGUGUGUCUUUUAACCGGGGUUGCCCCCCCCCAUCCGUGUGUGCAUGAGGGUUAAUGUGUGUUCUAAUUAUUUGAAUGGUUUGGUUUGUUUUCUUUUGGUUUGAUUACUCAUUUAGUUUUGCGUUUAUCUCAACUAUUUUGUGCCUGUUUGUUUUCUUUUGGUUGCAUGCUGAAGAUUUUGAAUUGAAAAGGAAAGAAGUUAUUUAAUAAAUUGUAUUUUUCUAUGACAUUUAAACUCAUGCCUUCUAAACGAGUGGACUUACCUGUGUGCUUUGCACUUUACAUCAAUUCCCUGAGGUGAAAUUCCCAGGGUGGCGUUGUCGGUUCCUUUUUCUUAUUUCUUAGUUAGAUCUUUUAGUUUAUUUUCCUUUCGCCUACCACCUUGCCACAUAUGCAUUAAUAAGAUAGACUGUGACAACAAUCAAUAACAAACAAAAAAAUAUAAAAGGCCCGUCUUAGUUUAAAGCCCACUCACCAUGUCAAGGUGCAGGCCAAGAGUGGGAACAUAGAACAAAGACUCGCAUCACAAACUCAGACAGUCACAACAUGUAAAAAAACAUAUAAAUACAUGAAACAUGCAUAUACAUACGAGACCAAAGACUCGCAUCACAAACUCAGUCACAACAUGUAAAAAACAUAUAAAUACAUGAAACAUGUAUAUAAAUACAAGACCAUAGACUCGCAUCACAAACUCAGACAGUCACAACAUGUAAAAAACGUAUAAAUACAUGAAACAUGCAUAUACAUACGAGACCAAAGACUCACAUCACAAACUCACAGUCACAACAUGUAAAAAACACAUAAAUACAUGAAACAUGCAUAUACAUACGAGACCAAAGACUCACAUCACAAACUCCAUAGAUAUUUUUUUGGUUUUCUUGUUUUAUCUUAAAACCAAAAUACACAUAACAUUAAGAAAAUAAGGGAAGAAAAUAAAAAUAAUAAUAGACAAAGCUAAACUCAACUUGCAAGUUAGUGAUGGGCAUAAAUUUACAUUUACAAAAAUGACAUGUGUGAUGUGCUGUUCAAAAAUAAAUGUACUAUUCAACUAUGCCUUGUGCUCCGUUAUGCAAGCUCCAAGUCUACAAUUGAACAAUGUAUUUUUACAGUUUUGAGUGCUUUGUGCCAACUUGUGCUCCGUCAUGCAAGCUCCAAGUAUUACACUGAACACCAAACUGUACAAAUACAGAUCUCAUUGGCUGGAGGGUGGUUUGAGAUAUGCUCUACAUGUUCCACUGUUGACAACAAUUAUCUUUUCUAAAUCUUAUUUACAAUCUUUGUAAGGUUAAAUUAAAAUCUCAUUGUAUAACUUAGUUUUUGUUUCUAUUUUUACAUGGUUUAACUCCAAUUGUUACAAUUAGGGGUGUUUUUUUUGUUGUUAUUUUGUAUGUUUGGUAUCUAUCUAUCUAACCUAUCCUUCCCAGUAAUGUGGUUUACUGGUGAUGAAAAUGGAUGAGCUUUGUGAAUUUAUGUCUAACAGAGUCCUUAUGCAGACUCUCUGCUGCCUGUCAGAUGGUUCAUCCUUAUCUUACAAUAUAAAGAGGAUGCCAUUUUAACCAGAAGAUGUACGUGAUUGUCGUCAACAGUGGUUUCGAACAUGUGAUUGUGCAGCUCUGGGAACAAUGUCUUACCAGCACUGUAUUCCAGUACUUGAGUGACAAUGGCUGAUGUUAUACCAUGUCCCUGGGGAGGUUUGCAGCAUCCUUGUAGUCGGACAUGGUAUCAACAUUUGGGCAGAGCUGGUAUUCAUGGUCAGAAAGCUCCACAAGGUGCAUCAAACCUGCGCAAGGUGUUCGCUGCAGCAGGUGUGAGAUCCAUGAUGGUGGUAUUAUCACGUAGGAUGCAGUUGCCUGUUCCUGUCUUGACUUGGGACUUCAAAAGAAGACGCUUGUAGGCAGCUGUAAACUGUCUUGAUGUGGGAUUGUUGUUGAAUCCACCACGUGCUCUCAGACAGGAGAAGAACAGCUCAAGGUGAUCUUGGCUCAGCUUGUAGGUGAGGAGGUAACGGCAUGGUGCAUUUGGAAGGAAAAUAUUCCAUGCACUUGCGCAACUGGCAAUAAAGCCAACUACACAAGUUUUUGUGUAGUUGGGGAAGGGCUUUGGACCCCUUCCCCAAAGGGUUCCUGCUAUUAAGGACAUCGAAGGCGGCAUCAAUGGUUCUCAGGAACUUCACUGUCUCCUCGCACCCGCUGAACUGUGGAAGAUGCAACUGUGUGUUACAGUACUCAAGAGCAUCUGCUGCUGAACACCUGAGCUGCAAGCUUCACCUUCAUCUUCUGUUUCUCCCACCGUACAUGAGCCAUUUUUAACUUGUUUCCAAGUCGUAGUCCCUCCAUCUCUUGAAGUUUAUUCAACUCCUCAAUGUAUUUCCAACAGAUUUCUCCAUUUGGAGUAGCUUCUCUUUGAGAGCAGUGAUGACCUGAGUUAGGCAGGAAACUUUUAUCUUCAAUUUCCUACUCUUCUGCUGCACCACUCUAAGUUUUUUUCUAAUGGAUCCCAGUUUUCAGCCAGCCUUUUGAAGGAUAGAGGAGAUUUUACAACUGCAUAAUGAUGCUCAGCACUGGUUGAUGCUGUGGCUUCAGAAACAUUAACCUGUACCUCAACAGCUUCAUCAACAAUACCUGUAACCUCUGUGGCUUCCGAAACAUUAACCUGUACCUCAUCAUCAACAACAGCUGCAACACCUAAAAAGACUGGGCAGUAAUUGUGUUCUUGAUACACAUUACUUACCU